rnacentral:lncRNA from 10 species
ACAGCGCCGGGCAAUACCCGUAGAACCCCUGCUCUCACAGAGACACUACACAAACCAGCCAAAGUCCACGUGAAGUAAUGUGUGAUUACAAAUCCGGCUACAUUUUAUGGAGGUUUUAAAAAGGAAAGGAAGAAAGGUCCUGGCUCAACAUAAGCGUUUAAUAAAUAACAGAUACUCCUGUUAUCACUGUGAGUAACCAGUCAGUGUAGCUUCAUUAUCCCUUGGUUGACAGAAGAGCAAAGAAAAGCUCAGAAGAGGUAAGUACAUUUCCCUAGGCAGCACAGCCUGAAGAGAAACACUGGAAUUCACACCCAGGCCUGCCCAGCUCGAGCCCUUACUCCUCCCUCUGUGUCCCAUGGCCUCUGUGUUUCAUAGGUAGACUCCCUUGCAGCUUUCCUAAGAAUUUCACAUGAUCUCACUUGAUCCUUAUAACAUUCCUUGAAGUGGGAAGACUUACUGUUAUCCUAUUUCUGCUUCUAGGGAAACUAAGUCCAAGGUCACUCACUUACCAAACCAGAGCCAGGUCUAUUUUCACUACAAGACCAAAUCAGUUCCUGCUUCUCUUGGAACCCAAUGCACCUUCCCAACUCCCAGGUCCAUAAAGGGAGCAGGAGUGCAAGCACAUCAUGCCAGCCCUGGCAGUGACAACCUUGAAAGUCCCAGGUUCCAUCUAACAGGUGUGCCUAGAGCACGAGAGGGUCACUGCAGAAGGAGCAUGAGAACAGGUGUUGGAGGUUGCAGCAUGCCCAAGGCCCUGCAACCCCCAGGUCAAUAUGCUCAGCUUAAUUAUUUCCAGGACCUGGCCAGUGGCUGGUGCAUCCCACUAGGAGCUCCAUCAAAAUAACAAGGCCAUAUGCCCCCAGUACUGCCCGCCCGGCCCAUUCUCAAAUGCCAGCAGGCUCGAAGGCAUUGUUCUGGAGGUGGAGGAAGGGAAAAAGUGAGGCUGCUUUGGGGAAAAACAGGGGCUUUGGGGCAGGGAGAAUGUGUUUUUGCCCAAUGAUGGGCACAUGGCAAGCCACAUGCCUGCUCAUCCUGCCUUGGUUGCCUGAGUUUCUGAGCUCUUUGAUAGCAGAAUAGAAUUGCUACUCUGUGUCCACGGAGCCCAACGAUGAGGCAUUUAUCUCAUCAGAUUGUUAAGAUACAGUGUGGGUGUUUGGAUGUCAUUACUGCAUGGAUAGGAGCGUGGAGCGCAGGGGGGCAGAGAUGCUGAGAUAAAUAACACAGGAUCCUUUAAAAAUACACUGGGAACCAGGAGGCUACAGAGAACUGCAGGAGGUCUGAGCCCAAAGGGGGCGGGAGCACUCAGGCUGACAGAAAGGAAGGGGUGGAGCACACUGGAGCCCCCGCGUCUUCAUCCUUGCUACCAGGCACAUUCCAUUGCACCAUGGGUUUAUGCUCUGGCAUCCCCAGCAGAGAAAAGAUGAUGGCAGAGAAACCACUGCACAGCGUCACCCUGCAUUUGCAGGGAAGAUGGUCCCCUGGGGGAUGCUAUUCAGCAACCACAGAACAAAGAGGUUGGACUAUCUGUAAUGAAGGGACAGGGGUGUGGGAGGAGAAUGAGAUAGGGUACAGGAGUCCUGGAUCCUUGCCAACGUUCCAGCCCCCCACUCUGCAGUAAGGUGGAAGUAGAGGAAACCACAACGCCAGAUAGAGAGGGCAUCUGCCCCUUUAGCCUUGGGAUGAAGCAUCAAGCACCUCUGGUUUUAGAGACCCAGGCCUAAGUUUUGUCCCUGAAACAGGAGUGGAACAAAUGCUCCCGUGUGCUGUUUCCAGCUCUGUAAUUCACAACUACAGUUGAGGAGCAGAGGGUCGGGAGUGCUUCACCUAGAUAGCCAGACAUUUGCGGUAACUAACUGUUCCCUCCCAAAGCCUGUGCAGAAGGUCAGCAUCACUCUAUCCACCCCCAGCAGGCCAAGGGCCUCCCUCAGGCCAGCAAAGAUGCUGAUCUUCAAACUCACUGUCCUGGAAUCCCUGGUAUUGUUGCUUAAUUCACCAGGUCACUUGAGGGUAGGAAUGACCUCAGCUCAUCAGGCAGGCGUCCUAGAGCUGAUAUUUAAGGAGAAAUCCAGAGGCUUAAGAAGUAGUCAAGAAAAAGGCAGCUCAGACAACGGGAAGGACAGAAGGGUUUGCAGAGAGUGAAAGGAGCCAACGCAGGAUAGGGCAAGCCAGAGCAAACAGCUCUGGGCUGGGGUGGAGGUGGACUCUGGCAAAUGGAGAAGAACUUGGGAUGGAACUAACUCUCUGCCCCACCAAGGGCAUGGGGAAUAGCAAAGCCAAAGGGGGGCCAUCAAUUUUAAGCAAGAUAUCUCUUGAGGAAGUACUCGCUGCCAAGGGAGUCCAUGUUUCAUCAGCCAGUGGGCAGAUUUGACUGGAUUGCCAAAAGGGCUGGCUGGCCUCCGGGCUGCCAAUCAUUCCCCAAACCCUGAUCGGGCAGUAAAAAACCCAUGUGGAAGAGGGUUAGGGAGAAACAGGAGGAACCACGAGCACACAGCCAUCUCUGAGCCACAGCAUUUAGGAAAAUGCUCUCAACUUGGCAUGAUUGCAAGGGUUAAGUGAUUUGCCCUAGGUCAUGAAGCUUCUAACUUGGACAAGUCCCAUCAUCUCCCUGGACCUCAGUUCCCCCAUCUGUAAGAGGAGGGAGUUGAACGGGAUGCUUUCUGCAGUUCUUGUCAGUGCAGACAUUCUGCAGGUCUAAUCAAGGGCUUCUGAUCUGCCAAUUUCAUCUCCCUGGAUUACUGUGGUUAUCUGAAGACAGGCCCAAGGGAACAACAGAGCCAGAGGGCUGAUCUGAGAAAGGCAGAGCCUGCUCCUCUUUGAGAGCCCCCUGGAGCCCUUGCAGAGGCAUCCCCAGGCUUAGGAGGCAUCACUAUACAGGAGAGUCCAUUCCAGUUCCAGCGGGGUCCUCACCCUACCCCUACUCCCUGGGAGUCACACCUGUGAGGUAAGCUUUGAGCCCUGCCUCUUGCCACCCGUGAGUGCAACAGGGGCUCUGCAGCACCACCGGGGUGGAGGGGUGGAUACCCCAGGCUACUCUGCUGCUCUUUGGGAUUAAGCUCAGGGUUAGAGGCUGGCUCUGAGAUUUCCUUUCCUUUAUGCAUUUGAUCUCCGAGGCAGGACUUGGCUGAACAAGUGCUACUGCUGCUGUUUCCCUCUUUCCUUUGCACAUCCUGGGUCUUUCUGCCUGCUCCAGCCUAGACCUCUACAGUCAGUCUCUACUUGGGCAUCUCAAACUUGGCAUGUCCAAACCCCAAUUCUUGAGCCUCCCCCACCCCAACCAGCUCCUGCCCAUCUCGGAUCAUGGUGACUCUCCAGCCUUCCAUUCACUCAAGCCAAGAUAUAGAGUCCAUCUUCCCUCUUCCUUUGUUCAUACCUCAUGUCCGGUCUGUUAGCAGAUCAUUUCUGGUGUACUUCUAGAAUGUAUCAAGGAUCUAGCAACUUCUCUCCACCUCCACCUUUAUCACUCUGGUCCAAGCUGCUAACAUCUGCCUCUUGGAUUACUGAUCCAGCCUCCUGACUGACCGUCACACUUCUACCAACACCGAGAAGCUCCCAGCAAUGAUUCUCUUUCAAAACAGAUCAGUCACUCCUUUGCUAAAAAGCCUCCACUAGCUUCACACUUCACCCCAAGUUAGCACCACAGUCAUCACAAUGACUUACAAGACCCUAAGUGCCCUCUGUUCCUCACUGACCUCACCUCUGAGCACUUGCUGUGUUCCAGCCAUACCUGCCUCCUCCCUGCUCCUACCUGAGGGCCUCCGCACCUGGCCCUCCUGCUCCCAGACACGCUGGGCAUACUCCCACCUGAGGGCCUCCGCACCUGGCCCUCCUGCUCCCAGACACGCUGGGCAUACUCCCACCUGAGGGCCUCUGCACCUGGCCCUCCUGCUCCCUUGAAUGCCCUCUCCCCAGAUCCACAGCACUUACCUCGCCAUUUCCCACUGGUCUGCUCAAACGUUAUCUUCACAGUAACACCUUCCCUGACCCCUCUAUUAAAAGCUAUAACCCCACCCUGAAGCACCCUAUCUCCAUCCCUGCAUUCAUCCCUCCACUGUGUCUAAUAUUAUGUAUCGUAUUUAUAUUUUUUCCUUUAUGUUCUCCUUUCCUUUAUUUUCUUCUUCCCACAAAAGUGCAACCUCCUUGCAGGUAGGAAUUGUCUGUUUUAUUCACUGAGGUAACUAGUGAUGCACCUACAACAAUGCCCAGCCCUUGACCAUUAUUUGUUGACUGAAUAGUAGCUUCUGCCCACUGUGGGCAUUCAGAUAACAUUUAAAAAGCAGGGGCAAGGAGCACUUUUCACAUCUGCUGUGUGUUUCUGAGCUUCUGCCUGCGGUCACUAACUUUCUGAUUCUUAGCAUUCAUCCCAUAUUUUAGACACAGCCUCCACCCCACCCCAGUCCUGCAAGGCAUCCCUCUGGCUCCUGGAUGCCUCCUGGCCUCCUGCACCACCAGCCACAGCAUCACACAGAUGCUGGUCUGUUCUGCCCACAGCUCUUGGUGCAGGUCAGAUUCCUGAUCCUGGCUCCCUGCAUUUCAUUGUCAACCUAUGGCUGCACACACCACUGCAGAUGCUGAAGACACCGUCUUGGCCACAGGGAAGACUGUACUACUGAGACUACAAGACUGAGCCUGCCUUUUGAUUGGUCAAUGUUGCUUUUCCCUUGGUGGGAGAUGAACAAGAAAACAGACUGGGGACUCAAAACACACCAGGUGUUUAAUAGGUGGCUAAGUGAAUAGGCUUUCCAAAUUACAUGCCAACACAGCAGCUUGCCACAGCUUUCAGCCCACUGCUUGCACUAUGGUUUCUGGACUCAACAGAAAGGUCAAGGGAGUGCCAGCUGACUGUCACAUGGUCUGCAAGCCCCUGAUGGGAGGACCAAGUCAUCGACUCUAGCCUGCAUCUUAGCAUCUCCUGGGUUGAACUGACAAGCUGUUUCCAGCAUUCAGCCCCAGCAACUGUGAGUCCUGAAGCACUCCACUGUGCCCCUUGGCGAGCCUCUGCCUGCCCUCUUUAGCCUGACUCUGCUGUAGAUCAGAAAGGCAGGUUCAGGUCCUGGCCCUGGCACUGCCUUCCCAAGGGACUGGACUGGCUCCCUCCCCCAUGAGGAUAACUGCAGGGUGAUGGGGAGGUGAGUGCUUUGCCUCCUAGGAGGAAAGGCUACUAUGUGAUGCAAUGUCCACUCACUGUCAUUCCCAUAUUAGUACUGCACACAUCCCAGCACAGCAGCUUCAGAUACAUCCAGACACUUUCAGGGCUCCCCCCAGCCAGAUGGGAUGGCAUGGAACUGCUGGUGGCAACAGCAGAAGCACCUGUUGUGUGUGUGUGUGUGUUGCACAAGGACCCUUCUAGAGCUUGGCCCAUAUAUGUAUAGAAAACCACCUCUGAUGCUAUAUCUCCUAGUAAAUAGUGCUGUUUGUAAUAAUGUUUUACUCAGUGAUUACCAUAUGCAAGGUGUUAUACUAAACACUUGUCAUGACUUAUUAAUCCAGUGUUUCUCAAAGUGUGUCCCAAGGAACCCCAGCAGGAUCUCUGAGACCUUUUUCGUGUAUCUGUGAGGAGAGAACUAUUUUUAUAACAACUCUAACAUUUUCACUGUAAUGCUCUCACAAAUACACAGCAGAGUUUCCCAGAGCCUACAUGAUGUGAUACCAUAACACACUGAAUGACAGAGCAGAUAUGAGAACCCAGCUGUUUUCUAGUAAGUCAGACACUAAUCUAUACAAAUGUAAAGCAAUGUCACUCUUCUGUUUUUUUGUUUUACAAAAAAAUUAUUUUUCAGAAACAAUAUUGCUUAUGUUAACAUGCAAUCAGUUUUUUUUGUUUUUGUUUUUGUUUUUUUUUUUGAGACGGAGUCUCGCUCUGUCACCCAGGCUGGAGUGCAGUGGCACUAUCUCGGCUCACUGCAAGCUCCACCUCCCAGGUUCACGCCAUUCUCCUGCCUCAGCCUUCCGAG